rnacentral:lncRNA from 10 species
UUAAUUUGCUCACAUUCAUUAUAAUCCAUUAUUUAAUACAUUUUUCUUCCAUUUGAUCAUAUUACUUGCUGAUAGGAAGGACUGAGUUCAUUUUCAGCGUGUCUGGCUUUUCCAUUUCUGUGGCCUGGGAAGGUGGGUGGCUACAUCAUCAUCCAUGGUCUCUGAAAUAUCCUGUGUUACCAAGGCCUGCUUGUUCCACCAAACUGCUCCAUAGGCAGUUGUGACACCCAGAAAGAUGCUGAUAUGGUUUGGCUGUGUCCCCACCCAAAUCUCAUCUUGAAUUGUAGUUCCCAUAAUCCCCAGGUGUCUGGGAGGGGCCCAGUGGGAGGUAAUUGAGACAUGGGGGCGGGUUUUCCCAUGCUGUUCUUGUGAUAGUGAAUAAGUCCCAAGAGAUUCUGAUGGUUUUAUAAACAGGAAUUUCCCUGCACAGGCUCUCUUGCCUGCCACCAUGUAAGACCUGCCUCUGCUCCUCCUUCACCUUCCGCCAUGAUUGUGAGGCCACCCCAGCCAUGUGGAACUGGACGCCUGCUGGCCACACAUCACCAUGAGGAUGCACUUGACUGAAUCUGGAAGAAUCCCAGGGCUGUGGAAGAUUUUGG